rnacentral:rRNA from 1 species
UACAGAGGGCUCAAGCGUUGUUCGGAUUCAUUGGGCGUAAAGGGUGUGUAGGUGGCGCGCUAAGUCGGGUGUGAAAUUUCGGAGCUUAACUCCGAAACUGCAUUCGAUACUGGCGUGCUUGAGGACUGGAGAGGAGACUGGAAUUCAUGGUGUAGCAGUGAAAUGCGUAGAGAUCAGGAGGAAGACCAGUGGCGAAGGCGGGUCUCUGGACAGUUCCUGACACUGAGACACGAAGGCCAGGGGAGCAAACGGG